rnacentral:rRNA from 1 species
CCUACGGGAGGCAGCAGUGGGGAAUAUUGGGCAAUGGAGGCAACUCUGACCCAGCAACGCCGCGUGAAUGAUGAAGGUCUUCGGAUUGUAAAGUUCUUUUCUAAGGGAAGAAGAAAGUGACGGUACCUUAGUAAUAAGCCUCGGCUAACUACGUGACAGCAGCCGCGGUAAUACGUAGGAGGCAAGCGUUAUCCGGAAUGACUGGGCGUAAAGGGUGCGUAGGUGGUUCAGCAAGUUAGUAGCGUAACUCCGGGGCUCAACCUCGGCACUACUACUAAAACUGUUGGACUUGAGUGCAGGAGGGGCAAGUGGAAGUCGUGGUGUAGCGGUGGAAUGCGUAGAUAUUAGGAGGAACACCAGUGGCGAAGGCGAGUUGCUGGACUGUAACUGACACUGAGGCACGAAAGCGUGGGGAGCAAACAGGAUUAGAUACCCGGGUAGUC